rnacentral:rRNA from 1 species
AUUGAACGCUGGCGGCAUGCCUUACACAUGCAAGUCGAACGGCAGCACGGGGGCGAACCCUCGGUGGCGAGUGGCGAACGGGUGAGUAAUACAUCGGAACGUGCCCGGUAGUGGGGGAGUAGCUCGGCGAAAGCCGGAUUAAUACCGCAUACGACCCACGGGUGAAGCGGGGGAUCGCAAGACCUCGCGCUAGCGGAGCGGCCGAUGUCAGAUUAGGUUGUUGGUGGGGUAAAGGCCACCAAGCCGACGAUCUGUAGCUGGUCUGAGAGGACGACCAGCCACACUGGGACUGAGACACGGCCCAGACUCCUACGGGAGGGCAGCAGUGGGGAAUCUUGCGCAAUGGGCGAAAGCCUGACGCAGCGACGCCGCGUGAGGGAUGACGGCCU